CUUGGCCCCUGCCCCAUAACACUUUUUAGUCUUAGACAAUUUGUGCAUUUAAGUUUUUAAUUAUAGUACAAAAGAAAGUCACUGAGAAAACUUAUAAAAUCAGCUUAUGCAACAUUUAUAAAAGGCUAUGGAGUAGUUCAUAUGCUGAAGUAUGAUAAAAUGGUUUGUGAGCAAUACAGUACAAUAUCUGCUUAUCAGUGAUACAAUGUAAAGUCUGUAAUGAAGUUAGACUGUUUCCCCAAAUUUCUACGUUAGGUGCUGUGAACUUUUUUUCACUUUAACCAUCAUAAUUUUCUCCCCUUCCCGCCAAUCUAAAUCUGUCAUGACAUAGGCAUCAACUGUAUUGUCACCGUGUAGAAUAAGAACCAAAUUUCUCAAUAAGCAACUUCCCCUGUCACAGUGAGACAAUAUGCUAUGCUCAUUUUUCUAGAUUCCCUAGGAAAAGAUAUUUUUAAUCCAGUGACAGAUAUUUUUACUUUCUAAAGGUAGAGCUAACCUCUCAUACCAUUUUAAGAAAUAUUACAAAUGCAAAUUUGCUUCUAGAACAAAAAUGUUGAUUUCUUAGACUUUCAGAAAUAUUGAGAAGAGGCUUUUUAACAUUUCUGAUACAUCCAACAGCUCAAGUCUGUGAUAAAUUAAGCACCAAAGUCAACACUGAUAGUACCUGCAGAGACUUAACAUUUCUCUAAAAUACUCCCCACCAUUUAAAUUCAUUCAUGUUAACAUUUAUUAUAAUUUGAGGAGGUACGUGGGUAAAAGCUGUGUUAUUUCAUGAACAUUUCCUUAAAUAUUAUUAAAUGGUCAUUCUAGCUAGCCACUGUUUCAGCUUUCAGACCAAUUCUGUUUAUUGGUCUCUAAUAAGCUAUACUGCCUUCAAAAUAUUUAUGCCUCUUGAGUGUUAAUUAUCCUUCCUCCACCUGGGCAGGUACCCAAAACUGGCACCAGAGUGUGGCAUCUUACACCGCUGCUACUGAUAAUCAUAGAAUCACAGUCAAGCAGAGACCUUCAUUUUACAGACCCCUUUCCCCAGUGCUGUGUGGAGGUUGGAUUUGAAGAGGAGAAAGCUGGAAGCAAGAGACCAGUAGAGCUGUUGCCGUGGUACAGGAACUUCUUUCAUGCUUCUCAAGUUUAACUUCCUACAAAUUUCUAAGACUACUUCAAGAUUAAGUGUAAGUGAGCAGUACUUGAUGGGUAGGUGUCUUCCAUCAUUAAGACUAAAUCAUUCCUUUCAUUAUCACCAUACUUUGCUUGUUGCAGGAUUUGGAAACAAACAUUUCUCUUCUUAGGGAAGGACCGUGGAGUUUAUCCAGUCAAGGUCCCACAGAGGGAGUUAGAGUUGCAGUAACCUGGCGUGAGUAAGCCCUGAUUCCAGGUGGUGAUGGGGGUUGAGUUUCACAUUCUGCUUUAUUUGAACAAUAUGUGAAAAAGAGUCACUAAAAAUAAGAACAGACUGGGCUUUGUUGCAGCUGAGUGGCCUUGCAAAUCUCUGUAAAGAGGAAUUAUAGGACAUAAAGGAUCUGAUUCUGGGAUAUGAUCCAAUUGCCCUGUGAAUGGAAGUAAAAUAUCCUUUUUAAGAGCACUGAAGUUCUGGGAUUUUGGGGGAAUAGUCACUUCUGUGAGAUGUGGAUUGUGUCCAGGGACUGUAACCUGAGAGGAAACAAGAAAGUUAUCUGAGUGAUUUCAGAUGUUUUGUGGUGCCAACAGUGAAAAACACUGAUAUCCACCACUAAAAUGCAGCCUUUAUGAAACACAUGUAACAACCUGCCAGGUCUCCCCAGGCUAGAAACAGCUUCAGUCCUGCUCGGUGAAUGAGUUACCAAGUGCCUACUGAUAUGGACCGCAGUUGUUAAUGCUGUUGCUGAGAAUUACAAAGUGAAAUAAAGACAGUUCCUUUAUCUGAAGAUGUAAGUCAGAAGCAAUAGACUGAUUUCUGUCCCCAUCGUUUUCAUGGAGCGCAAAGGCACCACCAAACUUUUCACUUAGAAGGAAGUGAUUGUUUUACCAGAAGAGAUUAUUUAUUUCUAUAUGCUGAAAUCAAAAAUUGAAAAAAGACCAGAAGAUCCAAAGAGAUGCAGAGACAGCCAGCACUAUGACAUCAGG